rnacentral:rRNA from 1 species
GACGAACGCUGGCGGCGUGCUUAACACAUGCAAGUCGAACGGAAAGGCCCUGCUUUUGUGGGGUGCUCGAGUGGCGAACGGGUGAGUAACACGUGAGUAACCUGCCCUUGACUUUGGGAUAACUUCAGGAAACUGGGGCUAAUACCGGAUAGGAGCUCCUGCUGCAUGGUGGGGGUUGGAAAGUUUCGGCGGUUGGGGAUGGACUCGCGGCUUAUCAGCUUGUUGGUGGGGUAGUGGCUUACCAAGGCUUUGACGGGUAGCCGGCCUGGGAGGGUGACCGGCCAAGUGGGAACGGGGAUCGGGCCCGGACCCGAACGGGGGGCGACGGGGGGGAUGUUGGCACAGGGGGCGGGGGCUGAUUCCGACACACCCGCGGGGGGGAGGCCGGCUUGGGGGUUGAAACCGAUUUCCCCCUGUCACGAGGGGGGAGUGAGGGAAAUGGGAAAAGAAGCACCGGCUAACUACGUG